UCACCGCCACCAACAAAAGUAUCAUCUCAUCUUCACUGCCCAUGACUCCGUUUUCUAAAUUCCAAAUCAAAAUUCUUAGUCUUAUCAAUGAACAACUUUGUAUCUUCAAUUUCAUUAGUGGCUCACGAAAAUCAGUUGAUGUGGUUGCACUUCAAUGAUCUAAUGUUGAUGACGUAUUCGAAAACAAAAAUCUGAAGAUGAGACCUUAACUACUGAUACAAGGUGGAAGGUGGAGAAGAUAACCAGUGAGGGUACUAUAGGUAGUUUGCUAAAAAAAAAUAUUUUUUUGCCACGUGUAUUUCCUGUUGAGUCAGCUAAUUAGUUUUGGACGGAAAAAGUAACGAGGGGAGAUUUCACUAAGUUUAUUUCUAUAGAGAACGUAACGCAAAUUAUGAUCUUUGGGAGAAGUAACGUAAAUUACCCCUAUUUUUUUUAUCUCAUCCUCAUUAUAAGUAC